rnacentral:rRNA from 1 species
GACGAACUGUCCUAACGUUGUUCGGAAUCACUGGGCUUAAAGGGCGCGUAGGCGGUCGAUCAAGUCAGGGGUGAAAUCCUGCAGCUUAACUGUAGAAGUGCCUUUGAUACUGGUCGUCUCGAGGGAGGUAGGGGUGUGUGGAACUUCCAGUGGAGCGGUGAAGUGCGUUGAUAUUGGAAGGAACGCCGGAGGCGAAAGCGACGCACUGGACCUCUUCUGACGCUGAGGCGCGAAAGCUAGGGGAGCAAACGGG